UUCCAGACUCCUACGGGAGGCAGCAGUGAGGAAUAUUGGUCAAUGGCCGAGAGGCUGAACCAGCCAAGUCGCGUGAGGGAAGAAUGUCCUAUGGAUUGUAAACCUCUUUUGUCAGGGAGCAAAGUCACCCACGUGUGGGUGUUGGAGAGUACCUGAAGAAAAAGCAUCGGCUAACUCCGUGCCAGCAGCCGCGGUAAUACGGAGGAUGCGAGCGUUAUCCGGAUUUAUUGGGUUUAAAGGGUGCGUAGGCGGACGCUUAAGUCAGCGGUAAAAUUGCGGGGCUCAACCUCGUCGAGCCGUUGAAACUGGGUGCCUUGAGUGGGCGAGAAGUACGCGGAAUGCGUGGUGCAGCGGUGAAAUGCAUAGAUAUCACGCAGAACCCCGAUUGCGAAGGCAGCGUACCGGCGCCCAACUGACGCUGAAGCACGAAGGCGUGGGUAUCGAACAGGAUUAGAUACCCGAGUAC
rnacentral:rRNA from 1 species